GCUUAGUGUAUUUUUUACGCUCUUUUUUUCUUUGCUGCGAUCAAGCAUAUUGUAUUUGUUGUCGAGUUUUUAGGUGUUUCUGUUAGGCUUGAUCUUCUGUUUUUGAAUAAUCCCUGUUGACUAGGGAGUAGAUUGUUUGUUUUGACUCUUUCCUUGUUGAUUACCAUGUUUCUGUUAGAGUAAACGUGGGCUGUAAUCUUGCUUUUAUUUAGGAAGUUGUAAGGCUAUAUAAUAGCCAGAGUUGCUGAUUUCAAUAAUAAGUCAUUCUCUCAGAUCAA